rnacentral:lncRNA from 1 species
AAAUAACACCUUCCCUUGACAUUUUAUGUCCCAUGCCUGCAUGUCAAAUCUCCAACUAAGACUACUCAAAGAGCACCUAAAAGAAAAUUACCAAGAUUUCAUCACAUGCAGAACUCGAGAUGCUAACAUUGAACCAUGGGAGGGAUCAACAAGAAACAAAAUACUUACCCAUAAGUUUGUAAUUUGUUGUACUCAAAACCCGCUUCCUAGUCAAACUUUCAACACAACUCCAUGGAGACUUUCACAAAUAGUUAAGCCACUAGUAGAAAAUAACAUCAAUAUGAGAAAUUGACAAGGUACUGUGCAAAUAAAAGAGUAUAAAUGUGUGUUGAGAAUAAGAGUUACCUUAAUUAAUGUAAGGAUAGGAUAUGGUUGAAUUGGCUCUGCACCUAUUUUUGCAAUUUGAAUUUAUUACGGUUCAAAAAUGAGUUUAUGAUCUAUCCUCACUUUAGGGAAAGUGGGCAAUCUUCUUGAAACAUCUUUGAUUUAGAG